UACGGGGGGAGCAAGCGUUGUUCGGAUUUACUGGGCGUAAAGGGCGCGUAGGCGGCCACCGCAAGUCGACUGUGAAAUCUCCGGGCUUAACCCGGAAAGGUCAGCCGAUACUGCGGGGCUAGAGUGCAGAAGGGGCAACUGGAAUUCUCGGUGUAGCGGUGAAAUGCGUAGAUAUCGAGAGGAACACCAGUGGCGAAGGCGGCGAUCUGGGCUGAUACUGACGCUGAGGUGCGAAAGCGUGGGGAGCAAACAGG
rnacentral:rRNA from 1 species